CUGCUUUGGCAGCACAUAUGCUACAAUUGGAACGACACAGAGAAGAUGGGCGUGGCCCCUGUGUAAGGGUGACACAAAAAUUCGUGAAGCGCUUCAUAUCUUU